UUCGCCGGAGAAGGCACUCGAGUGCGUUUACGGUUACGCGCUCGGUCUCGAUAUGACGCGCCGCGAUCUUCAGCGCGCGAUGGGUGACCAGAAGAAGCCGUGGGAGAUCGGCAAGAGCUUCGAUAAUUCCGCCGUGAUUGGCCCGAUUCACCCCGUGACCAAGACCGGCCAUUUUGCCAAAGGCGCGAUCUCGCUCGCCGUGAACGGAACGGUGAAGCAGAGCUCCGACCUCAGCAACAUGAUCUGGAGUGUGGCCGAACAAAUCUCGAAGUUGUCCGAGGCCUGCGAGCUGAAGGCCGGCGACAUCAUCUAUUCCGGCACGCCGGAGAAUGUCGGACCGGUUGUGAAAGGUGACGUCAUCCUUUGCAAACUGGAGGGCCUGCCGGAUAUGUCGAUCAAGAUCGUCUGACGCUGUUCGAGCGGCACGGUUCGCUGUCGAGCAAAUAAAAAGCCCGCCGUCCGGUGGGCUUUUUUUUCGAU
rnacentral:misc_RNA from 1 species